UACGGGAGGCAGCAGUGAGGAAUAUUGGUCAAUGGGCGAGAGCCUGAACCAGCCAAGUAGCGUGCAGGAUGACGGCCCUAUGGGUUGUAAACUGCUUUUAUACGGGGAUAAAGUGAGGGACGCGUCCCUUUUUGUAGGUACCGUAUGAAUAAGGACCGGCUAAUUCCGUGCCAGCAGCCGCGGUAAU
rnacentral:rRNA from 1 species